rnacentral:rRNA from 1 species
GUUGCCAGCGAUUCGGUCGGGAACUCAAAGGAGACUGCCAGUGAUAAACUGGAGGAAGGUGGGGAUGACGUCAAGUCAUCAUGGCCCUUACGACCAGGGCUACACACGUGCUACAAUGGCGCAUACAAAGAGAAGCGACCUCGCGAGAGCAAGCGGACCUCAUAAAGUGCGUCGUAGUCCGGAUUGGAGUCUGCAACUCGACUCCAUGAAGUCGGAAUCGCUAGUAAUCGUGGAUCAGAAUGCCACGGUGAAUACGUUCCCGGGCCUUGUACACACCGCCCGUCACACCAUGGGAGUGGGUUGCAAAAGAAGUAGGUAGCUUAACCUUCGGGAGGGCGCUUACCACUUUGUGAUUCAUGACUGGGGUGAAGUCGUAACAAGGUAACCGUAGGGGAACCUGCGGUUGGAUCACCUCCUUACCUUAAAGAAGC